rnacentral:rRNA from 1 species
AUUGAACGCUGGCGGCAGGCCUAACACAUGCAAGUCGAGCGGAAACGAGUUAUCUGAACCUUCGGGGAACGAUAACGGCGUCGAGCGGCGGACGGGUGAGUAAUGCCUAGGAAAUUGCCCUGAUGUGGGGGAUAACCAUUGGAAACGAUGGCUAAUACCGCAUGAUGCCUACGGGCCAAAGAGGGGGACCUUCGGGCCUCUCGCGUCAGGAUAUGCCUAGGUGGGAUUAGCUAGUUGGUGAGGUAAGGGCUCACCAAGGCGACGAUCCCUAGCUGGUCUGAGAGGAUGAUCAGCCACACUGGAACUGAGACACGGUCCAGACUCCUACGGGAGGCAGCAGUGGGGAAUAUUGCACAAUGGGCGCAAGCCUGAUGCAGCCAUGCCGCGUGUAUGAAGAAGGCCUUCGGGUUGUAAAGUACUUUCAGUCGUGAGGAAGGCGGCGUCGUUAAUAGCGGCGUUGUUUGACGUUAGCGACAGAAGAAGCACCGGCUAACUCCGUGCCAGCAGCCGCGGUAAUACGGAGGGUGCGAGCGUUAAUCGGAAUUACUGGGCGUAAAGCGCAUGCAGGUGGUUUGUUAAGUCAGAUGUGAAAGCCCGGGGCUCAACCUCGGAAUAGCAUUUGAAACUGGCAGACUAGAGUACUGUAGAGGGGGGUAGAAUUUCAGGUGUAGCGGUGAAAUGCGUAGAGAUCUGAAGGAAUACCGGUGGCGAAGGCGGCCCCCUGGACAGAUACUGACACUCAGAUGCGAAAGCGUGGGGGAGCAAACAGG